UGGGGAAUCUUGCACAAUGGGGGAAACCCUGAUGCAGCGACGCCGCGUGAACGAUGAAGCCCUUCGGGGUGUAAAGUUCUUUCGGCAGGAACGAUAAUGACGGUACCUGAAGAAGAAGCUGCGGCUAACUACGUGCCAGCAGCCGCGGUAAUACGUAGGCAGCAAACGUUGUUCGGAGUUACUGGGCGUAAAGAGUACGUAGGCGGUUUGCCAAGUUUGGUGUGAAAUCUCCUGGCUUAACUGGGAGGGUGCGCCGAAUACUGGCAGACUUGAGUAUUGGAGAGGAAAGCGGAAUUCCUGGUGUAGCGGUGAAAUGCGUAGAUAUCAGGAGGAACACCGGUGGUGUAGACGGCUUUCUGGACAAUCACUGACGCUGAGGUACGAAAGCGUGGGUAGCAAACAGGAUUAGAUACCCGCGUAGUCCCUGAGCGGGCUGGCAAGGCGC
rnacentral:rRNA from 1 species